rnacentral:lncRNA from 1 species
UACAUGUCUGUCCCCUGUUCUUACAUGUCAUGUCCCGUUCUUACAUUCAUGUCCCCGUUCUUAAAUGUCAUGUCCCCUGUUCUUACAUGUCCUGUCCCCUGUUCUUACAUGUCAUGUCCCCUGUUCUUACAUGUCAUGUCCCCUGUUCUUACAUUGUCAUGUCCCCCUGUCUACAUGUCAUGUCCCUGUUCUUACAUGUCCCUGUUCUUCAAUGUCAUGCCCUGUUCUUACAGUCAUGUCCCCGUUCUACAUGUCAUGUCCCCUGUUCUUACAUGUCAUGUCCCCUGUUCUUACAUGUCAUGUCCCCUGUUCUUACAUGUCAUGUCCCCUGUUCUUACAUGUCAUGUCCCCUGUUCUACAGGCAUGCCCUGUCUUACCAUGUAUUCCCUGUUCUUACAUGUUCAUGUCCCCUGUUCUUACAUGUCAUGUCCCUGUUCUUACAUGUCAUGUCCCCUGUUCUUACAUGUCAUGUCCCCUGUUCUUAAUGUCAUGUCCCCUGUUUACAUGUAUGUCCCCUGUUCUUACAUGUCAUGUCCCCUGUUUACUGUCAUGUCCCUGUUCUUACAUGUCAUGUCCCUGUUCUUACAUGUCAUGUCCCCUGUUCUUAAUGUCAUUCCCUGUUCUUACAUGUCAUGUCCCCUUUCUGUUCCCUGUAUUACAUGUCAUGUCCCUGUUCUUACAUGUCAUGUCCCCUGUUCUUACAUGUCAUGUCCCCUGUUCUACAUGUCAUGUCCCUGUUCUUACAUGUCAUGUCCCUGUUCUUACCUGUUCCCCUGUUUACAUGUCAUGUCCCCUGUUCUUACUGUCAUUCCCUGUUCUUAAUGUCUUUCCCCUGUUCUUACAUGUCAUGUUCCCCUGUUCUUACUGUCAUGUCCCUGUUCUUACUGCCAUGUCCCCUGUUCUUACCUGCCAUGUCCCCUGUUUCUUACAUGCAUGUCCCUGUUCUUACAUGCCAUGUCCCCUGUUC